UUUCUACUCCCUCCGUCCGAAAAUACUUGUCAUCAAAAUGGAUAAAAAGAGAUGUAUCUAAAACUAAAAUACGUCUAGAUACAUUUCCUUUUAUCCAUGUUGAUGACAAGUAUUUCCAGACGGAGGGAGUAUUUG
rnacentral:pre_miRNA from 1 species